GGGAGCGACAGCCUGAUCCAGCCAUGCCCGCGUGGUGGUGAAGAAGGGCUUCCGGAUCUGUAAAGCACUUUUAAGUUUGGGAGGAAGGGCAUUAACCUAAUACGUUAGUCGUUUUGACGUUACCGACAGAAUAAGCACCGGCUAACUCUGUGCCAGCAGCCGCGGUAA
rnacentral:rRNA from 1 species